AUAAAAUAAAGAACUACACAAAUAAGUCUAUAUAUAUGCGCAUAUUGCACUAAUACAUACAUGUUGGUAAUUUAUUGGUAAUUUAUUGGUAAUUUAUUGGUAACUUAUUGUUUUUUUUUUUAUUUUUUAUUUUUUAUUUUUUUUUUUUUUUUUUUUAUUUCACAAAUAGUUAAAUAUUUUUUUAUAUAUGUUACUCAUUAUUUGAUUUAUAUUUGCAUCAUAAUAACCAAUGAUAUAAUUUUUGUUCGUUCGUUUGUUGGCUCACCCGUUCAUUUGUCAGUACACUCAUUUAAUUCGUUCACUUAUUUUUUUGUUAUAAUAGAACAACUUGCAAAAUGAGAUUAAAGUAGCGAGCAAAGCUAGAGAGGAAUAUAACAAAAAAAAAAAGAUAUGGUAGUUAAAAUAGAUUCUUAUCAAAAUGAAAUAGAUAGGUUAGAAAAAGAAAGAAGAACGUUAUUAGAAGAUGUGGAAAAAAAGCAAAAACAUAAAAAAGAAUUAAAAGUAAAUGCACAAAAUAUGAAAAAACAAUUAGGCUUUGAAAAAGAGGAGGAUAUAGAAAAAAAAAUUUCAGAAAUAGAAAAUAAAUUAAUGACUUCUACUAUAUCAAUAAAAGAAGAAAAAUUAUUAAUAAACCAAAUCCAAGUAUUAAAUAAAAAUAAGAGUUUAUUAUCUUCUUUUAGUAAACAAGAAGACGAGGCUAGUAAAUAUGACAAUGCAUCAAUAGCACCUUUAAAAAGCAAAAUCGACUCCAUUAGAGAAGAAAUAAACGAAUUUCGAAAUAAAAAAAAAAUUGAAAGAAAUAAACUUAAAGAAUUACAAAAUAAUUACCAAGAAAAAAAUAAUAAAUUAAAUGAAUUGAAUGUUUUAAGAGAUAACUAUUAUAAAAAAAUUAAUCAUUUUUUUGCUGAAAAAAAGAAGUGUGGAAAUAGAACAAGAAGAAAAAAGACAACAAUUUAGAGAAUAUGAAUUGAGUUUAUUACAAGCAAAACAACAAAAACUAAAAGAAGAAAGAGAAAGAAAAAAUUUAGAAUUGGAAAAGGAAAAAUUAGAAAAACAAUUAGAGGAUAUUGACGUAGUACCAUUUAGAGAAGAAUUGGCAUUAAUUGAAAAUGUUUUAGCGUAUUUAAAAAGAUUGAAAGAAGAUGCAAAAGUAGAUGAACCGAAAAAACAACCAAGUAAUUUAACAAAAAAAAUUAAUGGACAUGUAGAACAAAUUUCCAAUAAUGACACAAAUGAUGCAGAUAUAACUGGUAAUGAUAAUAACAUAAAAGAAGAUGAAGAAGAUAUUAAUAAAGUAAAAACUGAUACAGAUAGUAACA
rnacentral:lncRNA from 1 species